rnacentral:rRNA from 1 species
AGAGUUUGAUCAUGGCUCAGGACGAACGCUGGCGGCGUGCCUGAUACAUGCAAGUUGAGCGCUGAAGGUUGGUACUUGUACCAACUGGAUGAGCAGCGAACGGGUGAGUAACGCGUGGGGAAUCUGCCUUUGAGCGGGGGACAACAUUUGGAAACGAAUGCUAAUACCGCAUAAAAACUUUAAACACAAGUUUUAAGUUUGAAAGAUGCAAUUGCAUCACUCAAAGAUGAUCCCGCGUUGUAUUAGCUAGUUGGUGAGGUAAAGGCUCACCAAGGCGAUGAUACAUAGCCGACCUGAGAGGGUGAUCGGCCACAUUGGGACUGAGACACGGCCCAAACCCCUACGGGAGGCAGCAGUAGGGAAUCUUCGGCAAUGGACGAAAGUCUGACCGAGCAACGCCGCGUGAGUGAAGAGGGUUUUCGGAUCGUAAAACUCUGUUGGUAGAGAAGAACGUUGGUGAGAGUGGAAAGCUCAUCAAGUGACGGUAACUACCCAGAAAGGGACGGCUAACUACGUGCCAGCAGCCGCGGUAAUACGUAGGUCCCGAGCGUUGUCCGGAUUUAUUGGGCGUAAAGCGAGCGCAGGUGGUUUAUUAAGUCUGGUGUAAAAGGCAGUGGCUCAACCAUUGUAUGCAUUGGAAACUGGUAGACUUGAGUGCAGGAGAGGAGAGUGGAAUUCCAUGUGUAGCGGUGAAAUGCGUAGAUAUAUGGAGGAACACCGGUGGCGAAAGCGGCUCUCUGGCCUGUAACUGACACUGAGGCUCGAAAGCGUGGGGAGCAAACAGGAUUAGAUACCCUGGUAGUCC